rnacentral:tRNA from 1 species
UGGCUCAGUGGUUAAGAGCACUGGCCUGCUCUUCCAGAGGACCUGAGUUCAAUUCCCAG